GCCCCUGUAGCUCAGAGGAUAGAGCACCAGCCUCCGGAGCUGGGGGCGGGGGUUCGAGUCCCCCCAGGGGCG
rnacentral:tRNA from 1 species